rnacentral:lncRNA from 1 species
AUCUUCACAUUAUUAAAAUAAAGAUGUCCUCAUUAGAGAAACAACAAUAACAACAACAACAAUAAUAAUAAUACUUCUAGUUACUGGUGCCUAAACACAGAUUUUUGAUAAAUACAUUAUUAUACCAUAUAGUGUUAUAGUUAAUUGAAUAAAAACACUAUAACUUCAUAAUAACGAAUUCCUGUAAAAUCUACAUUUAGGCGUUCGCACCUAAGCCUUAUUGCAUAUCAAAACAAAUGCGAAGAGCAAAGAAAUAGAGAUAAUAAUGCGAUUUUUUAGAAAAUGAUCAACUACUACAGUACUUGGUGGUGGAGAAAGAAACUAAAGAAUGAGUGAAAUUAUAUUACGAGCUAAGUUAAAUUUUUUGGUAAAAAUCCUGUAUCUAUAGAAGGGUUCGAUUAGAAGAAUUAUAUAAUACAAGAAUUUUUGUAAUUACAGCACCUAAAUGUAGAGAUGACGAUGGUAAUGACUUCUAGUAUUUCAGGAAAAUCAUUUUCUUUUACCUUUUUUUUUUAAAAAUUACAAGAGAUGAUAUCUUUAUUUAGUUAACAUUGUGAAUAAAUACAAAAAUGAGCCGGAUGUUAUUCAAUCAUGAGACGGCAUUAGCUUGUUCCAAAGCUAUUUGUGCUAAUGAAUGACCUACUUCAUUACAAAUUCUCGGAGCAUGAUGAAUUUAAUUUGCUGCAAACUCUUCAAACAUUCUUGGAUUUCAGAAACAAUCCAAAAAAUUUCAGUGCUUCUUCCUUUCUUGUUUAGCACCAGGUCAACUACCUCCUGAGCAUAAGUUUCAGCCACCAGAGGAAAACAACGUGCACUUUUUGCAAGCCCUAAACUAAUCUUGUGGCUUCAGAUUUAGCAAAAGCUACAUCUCUAUGGAGUUUAGGCCAUCCUGCAGGCGGGGACUCCACUGCUGUCUUGUUUCAGAUUUCUUUCCCAAAGUUGCCUAAUUCUUCUGCAAGAUUGCACCUCUACUUCUGCCCUGGCAAGUGAUAUUUGAGAAUCUCCAUUCUUAUCUUUGAAGAAGAAGAGAUUUCGAGGAUGCCAAGGAAUCCAGCAUGUUGCAACUAUUAGCUCCAUAUUAGAUUUGCUUCUCUUCCUUGCUAUCUCCAACACAACUAAAGAUAUCUAUGCUUUCCGACUAUUUAAGAUCUUCUUCAUAAGGUGUAAGCCUCCAUAUUUUACUAGCUACAUUUCGAAACCAAGGGCUUUGCAGUUUCCUCUUCUUUCAAGGAUUUACUGUUGUAGGCAGUAAACUUCUUGCUGCUCUCCACACAAAGAUUUUAACUUUUGCUGGUAAAAUCUAAAGACUAAAUGACAUUCCAUGAACAUUGCCAAUUGUUUGAGGUGCUAGGUUGAUCAGGAAAGUUUAGCUUUAAGGCCACCACUCACCCUUUUUAUCAAAAAGCCAUAAAGGUUGAUCAGGACUAGGAACUCUUGGUAAUGGAGUAUUUAAAAUCUGCUUGAUAUCUUCUUCCAUAAAGCUCCGUUGAAUCAGAUCCUCCUUCCAUUUGUUGUCAUUUUUAACCAUCUCAGAUACGGUGGAGUCUAGGAAAAGUUUUUGGGGAGAAAAAGGCUUAAAUGUAUUAGUCUUGGCAGCCAACAACUCUGAUAAGUCUAAGUACUCUUUCCAUCACCAAAUCACCAAUCCUCAUUCCUCCAUCUCAAACCUUUGUGGAUAACCUAUCUCUCCCAUAAGAUGCUUCUCCAAACAUAAGGUGGUUUUGUUCCUAUUUUUGCCUAAAAAAAAUCAAUACUUUUUAAAUAUCUAGCUUAUCUUAGCAUUAAAGAUUUAAGGUGUUGGAUGAAUCUCCUAUCUUGUUUAGCCGCCAUUUUCUUUUACUUCAACAAGGAGUUGACCACUCAACUAAUAAGUAGUUUUUUCAAUUUGAAUUAAUGGUGAGUUUACUUGUUGCAUUGGAGAAUCGAAAUAAGAAUGAUUAAUGUUAUUUACUUGAUAAAAAUAGAGAUGAGAAGGGAAAUAAAACUUAUGGGGCUCACAUAUUUUUUGGAUUAAAGAAUGAGAACUUGAUUCCCAUUAGAGAGGUAGGGAACCAAGUUUGCAUUACUUAAAACUUUCCAUUUUACCCCACCCAAAUUUCAUAAUUUCACUUUUGUCCUGAAAUAAAAUUAUAUUAUAUUGUUAUUGUUAUUGCUAUUAUUAUUAUUCUUAUUUUUUAAUUAUUGUUAGAAUGGGUUAUUUUAGUAACUUGUAACAAGUCGUUGCAAUUUCAAAAUAAAAUAAACAUAUUAAUGACAAUACAGUUUAUUUCGAUUAUGAUUUAUACAACUAAAGUAAAUAAUUUAUUUUGAUUCGUAUUUCAUAUUCUGAACCCAGUCCAUUAUGAUUACCGUUUAGUAAACGCAUCAUAAGUUAGAAGGGGAAAAAUUCAAGUUGAAGAUAAAUUGAAUAAAUCUUUGGUCUCUUAUGGAUGACAUGUCAUUUACAACUUAAUUAAAUAGCUUAUAUGUCAUACAUACCAUGGAUUGUGUAUGAUAUGUCAGUAAUUUAUUCAUAGAGUAGAUGACAUGUUAUUUACUAACUCUGAAGUGAGAAUUGUCUGAUAUGUCAUAGUUCACAUAUACAUAGAUGACAUGUCAUAUUAUGAAGUAAUUGAGUUAUUUAAAUAAAAUUUUAAAGUAAUUUGACUUAUACACUAUAUAUACGAGUAUCAUGAAUCAAAUAUUCAU